rnacentral:misc_RNA from 1 species
AGGGAAAGAGCAGGUUGUCUUUAGCCCUACUUAGGUUACUUCUAUUCUCUCUUACCUUAAAAUAAUUGUCAGGUGAGAUACUUGGACAUGGGUAGGGCUAUAGGACAUUCUGAAACUUAAAAGUUCAAAUCGGUGAAAAAAAUCUAUGAAACGUUAGAAGUAAAAAUUGAAGUCCUGCUCCCAGACACAUAUGUGUACUUAUCGCAGAUUCCACUGAAGGUCCUACUAAUCAGCCCAAGCUGGGGCUGUGGUCGUUUAAGUUUGUCUUGAACAAAUCUUGCUUGGACUUUGGGGUUGGGUUGUAUCUUGUCUUCUUAUGCUUUCUAUAUUGUGUGUAUGUGUGUGUGUGUAUAU